UCUUGUGCAUUGCAGGAUGUUUAAAAGCUUUCCUGGCCUCUGUCUACUGCAUACCUAUAGCACUCUCUCAUCCACCCAAUGUGACAAUAAAUGUCUCUGGACAUUGCUAGAUGUCACCAAGGAAGCAAAAUUGCCCCCGGUUGAAAACCCCUACAGUCUGACCCCAUUGAAUAGGUAGUAUUACUGUCCCCAUUUCACUGAUGAGCAAACUGAAGCUCAGACAGAAGUAACUUUCCCAGUGUUACUUUGCUGUAACAGGAGACCCAGGAUUCAAACCAUGUCUGACUUCAGAGCCCCUGCCCUCCUGCAUGCCGGACUCUGCAGAGAGACUUCAGGCUUCAGGGAGCCAAUUGCCCAUCAGUUCUCUAGGAGAGUGCUGAAGAGUGAGUAAAUCAGUGAAGGAAUGCUAUCCUUGGAUCAUUUUUCCUUUUCUGUUUGCCUUGGAAGAAAGGAAAUUAUAUUCUGGUUUUUAUUGCCUUAGUCAGCAUGGUUUAUGGUACUGAGCCAUGUCCAGUGAGAAAGUGGCUGAUGAGUCAUCUGAAUGUCUGUGGAUUUCAGGCCCCAAAUUACUGUGAGAUUCUGAAGUUACACUUGAGAAUUCAGGUGUGAGGCUGAGAUAAGAGAUGACUGGGGACUGUAGGGUGGAUGUUCCUGGAGGAGAGCAGUUUUCCUUUCCCUGUCGGGACUGCCUGAAGUUGCAGCCACAGUGCUGUUGCUGCCCUCCCCAGCUUGGACCUGCCCUACUGCUGCUGUUAGCUGAGGUCUAUGGAGAGGCCAGGGAGGCAGGAGAGGAAAUGGAUAAAUGGAUGCAGGCAAAGUGUGAUCCAUUCUCUCUAGCUAUUUUGUGAUCAGUGAUCUCAUAUUGGUAGCUUGAAAUUGAACAUGUUGGGAGUAUUUAUACCAUGGAAGUUGGCAAACAGUAUAAAUCAGGGCUACCCAUCCUGAGUUGGUUGUUAAACACCUGCUGGCACACCACUGUGUGCUGGUUCUGGCCUGUGCCUGCUGCCCACCAAACCAACCCCACAUAGGGAGAUGGCAGGGGGCACCAAAAACCACAGAGCUGCUGGAGAAGAGGAGGGGCCAUGGCGAUGUGGGUGAUGGGGAGAGGAGUGCCAAUUUCAGCAAAGAAUGGAGGUGAGGGCUGGUAGGGGUCUCUGGAGGGUACUGGGCAAAGAUGACCUUACAAGAACAGGUCCUGGGCAUACCUUCCAGAGAUCUAGCCUCCUCUCCCAACUUUGGAGCCUUCUUAGGGUGCCCUGGCUUGACACAAAUUCUUCUCACUUCCUGGUAUGAUUUGACAGGCAGAGGCAGAGGGGUGCAUUUCAG
rnacentral:lncRNA from 1 species